GAAUGGAGGGGGAGUCAUUUGGGAGGAGCAGACAGGUGGGAGACGUUUAACAUGACCUUGAACUUACGAAAGCAUGUUAUGACACUUGUCAUGAGUGUUGGGCCCGCUCAGUCUCCUCUGUUUUCCUUCCUUGGCCUUUUUGUCUAUCUAUAGGUUUGUUCCUUUGUAGGUUCCUGUUGAAAUCUGUAGGUAGCUGUUCGCUUUGAAUGUAAUUAAGAAAGAGGACGAAAACUAUCCAUUUGGAUCCAAGGUCUGCCUGUGAUUUCAGCUGUAGGGCUUAUCAACACUGGAAGCAAGGAAGGAGGAGGAAAUUGCACCAGAUCAGUCAGGUCCAUCUCCAGCGGUGGCUGUGGAGGCCUUGGAGUGGCGGAAGAUUACCACUCUCAACAGAUCUGCUCUCAGGACCCAUCACCUUCCCUCGGCCUGAGUGCCUCUGCCCUCUGUCCGUGUAUCAGUGACAGAGGCUGUGUGUUUGGCAAGGGGACUGCGUGCCUGCUGAACAGUUGACUCUAACUCUUGCUACAAAGUUUCUCUCUGACCCAGUGGAAGAGUGUCAAGACAUCUGCCUGGGACAGGUUGAGAGCCAAGGCCAAGACUGUAUAGGGCUACC
rnacentral:lncRNA from 1 species